CCUGCGCGCGGCGGCAAGACGGAGGAGGAGGUGGUGGUAGUUGGUGACCGCAGCGGGACUCCGUAAGGCUCGUGGGGGUGCUGUUGGAGGAGAAUCGCUGGCCCCACCACAGUAGCAGCGUCCCCGGCUCUGUUCCUGUCGCUAAAGGGGCUCUGGGCAGCGUGGGGGUAGCAGCAACAGCAGCAGCUUCCAUCGCCGGGACGGAAGGUGAACAGCUGCAGCAGAGCCAGCCUUGUGCGCCAGGGAGGACCCGCAGCGUCUCCUCCGGGACCCGGGCAGGAUAACCUAGGCAAGGCAAUUGGAGGAGCAGCAGCCGCGGCUUCACGGAGAGGAUCCCAAGCGGAGCGUGCCGAGCGGCGAGAGCGAGGAUGCUUGGCGUCUGUCGCCUGCCUUCGCUGCCUCUGGUGGUGCUGUUGCCGCUGCUGCUCAUGCCCGGCGGAGCGCUCCGAAGCGGACUGAGCGGCGCGGCAGGGAGCGAAGUGAAUUUAUUGGACUCCCGAUCAGUAAUAGGGGAUCUUGGAUGGAUUGCCUAUCCAAAGAAUGGGUGGGAAGAAAUUGGUGAAGUGGAUGAAAAUUAUGCACCAAUCCACACAUAUCAAGUGUGCAGAGUGAUGGAACAGAGUCAGAACAACUGGCUUUUUACGAGCUGGAUCUCCAACAGAGGAGCCUCCCGUAUCUUCAUUGAGCUGAAAUUCACCCUAAGGGACUGUAACAGCCUUCCAGGAGGUCUUGGAACGUGCAAAGAGACUUUUAAUAUGUACUAUUUUGAGUCGGACGAUGAAGAUGGAAGGAGUGUGAAAGAAAACCAGUAUAUCAAGAUUGAUACCAUUGCAGCAGAUGAGAGUUUUACAGAAUUAGACCUUGGAGAUAGAGUCAUGAAGCUGAACACGGAGGUGAGAGAUGUCGGGCCUCUGACAAAAACAGGAUUUUACCUGGCUUUCCAGGAUGUGGGUGCCUGCAUUGCUCUGGUGUCAGUGCGGGUGUAUUACAAAAAGUGCCCUGUGGUUGUUCGGAAUCUGGCUGUCUUUCCUGAUACGAUUACUGGAGCGGAUUCUUCACAGUUACUGGAAGUUUUGGGGUUAUGUGUGAAUCACUCUGUGACAGAUGAGCCCCCAAGGAUGCACUGCAGUGCUGAAGGGGAGUGGCUUGUGCCAAUUGGAAAAUGCAUGUGUAAGGCUGGAUAUGAAGAAAACAACAACACCUGUCAGGCGUGUCGGCCAGGAUUCUUUAAAGAUUCGCCCCAGAGUCAGACGUGCACCAAAUGUCCCCCACACAGUUACACACAUGAAGAAGCAUCAACUACCUGCAUUUGUGAAGAGCUCUAUUUCCGAAAGGAAUCUGAUCCACCCACAAUGGCCUGUACAAGACCCCCUUCUGCUCCUCGAAGUGCCAUCUCAAAUGUUAACGAGACUAGUGUCUUUCUGGAAUGGAUUCCUCCUGCUGAUACUGGUGGAAGGAAAGAUGUGUCUUAUUAUAUUGCAUGUAAGAAGUGCAACUUGCACUCAAGUCUCUGUGAGGCUUGUGGCACUCAUGUGAGGUAUCUUCCACAACAAAGCGGCCUGAGGAACACCUCUGUGAUGAUGGCGGACCUGCUUGCUCACACAAAUUAUACCUUUGAAAUUGAGGCUGUGAAUGGUGUGUCUGACCAGAGUCCAGCUGCACGACAAUUUGUGUCAGUCAAUGUAACCACAAACCAGGCAGCACCGUCUCCAGUCACAAAUGUGAAAAAAGGAAAAGUCGCCAAAAAUAGCAUCUCGCUCUCCUGGCAGGAGCCAGAUCGACCCAAUGGCAUCAUCUUGGAGUAUGAAAUCAAAUAUUUUGAAAAGGAUCAAGAGACCAGCUAUACCAUCAUCAAAUCCAAGGAGACAACAAUUACUGCAGAUGGCUUGAAACCUGCUUCAGCAUAUAUCUUCCAGAUCCGAGCACGUACCGCAGCAGGGUAUGGUGGCUUCAGCCGAAGAUUUGAGUUUGAAACCAGCCCAGUGUCAGUAGCUGCAUCCAGCGAUCAGAGCCAGAUCCCUAUAAUUGCUGUGUCUGUUACAGUGGGAGUGAUUCUCUUGGCUGUUGUUAUUGGUUUCCUUCUCAGUGGAAGGCGGUGUGGGUACAGCAAAGCUAAACAAGACCCUGAAGAAGAAAAGAUGCAUUUUCAUAAUGGCCACUUUAAAUUACCAGGAGUAAGGACGUACAUUGACCCACAUACCUACGAGGACCCCAAUCAAGCUGUCCAUGAGUUUGCCAAGGAAAUAGAAGCCUCGUGCAUAUCAAUUGAAAGAGUUAUCGGAGCUGGUGAAUUUGGUGAAGUAUGCAGUGGGCGUUUGAAACUACCUGGGAAGCGAGAGUUGCCAGUAGCCAUUAAAACCCUGAAAGUGGGCUACACUGAGAAGCAAAGACGAGAUUUCUUGGGAGAAGCCAGCAUAAUGGGGCAGUUUGACCAUCCUAACAUAAUUCACCUGGAAGGUGUUGUCACAAAGAGUAAACCAGUCAUGAUUGUGACCGAAUACAUGGAAAAUGGAUCUUUGGAUACAUUUUUAAAGAAGAAUGAUGGGCAGUUCACUGUAAUUCAACUGGUUGGAAUGCUCCGAGGGAUUGCAUCAGGGAUGAAGUACCUGUCUGACAUGGGCUAUGUACACAGAGACUUGGCUGCCAGAAAUAUCCUAAUCAACAGUAACUUAGUGUGUAAAGUAUCUGACUUUGGACUUUCCAGAGUUCUAGAAGAUGAUCCUGAAGCUGCUUACACAACAAGGGGUGGGAAAAUUCCAAUCCGAUGGACAGCUCCAGAAGCUAUAGCCUUCCGUAAAUUCACUUCUGCCAGUGAUGUCUGGAGCUAUGGGAUUGUUAUGUGGGAAGUGGUCUCCUAUGGAGAGAGACCCUACUGGGAGAUGACCAAUCAAGAUGUGAUUAAAGCUGUUGAAGAAGGCUAUCGUUUGCCAAGCCCCAUGGACUGCCCAGCUGCUCUAUAUCAGCUCAUGCUGGAUUGCUGGCAGAAGGACCGGAACAGCAGGCCAAAGUUUGAUGAAAUUGUCUGCAUGUUGGACAAACUCAUCCGGAACCCAAGCAGCUUGAAAACACUGGUGAAUGCAUCAAGCAGAGUGUCAAAUUUAUUAGGUGAACAUAGUCCACUGGGAAACGGUGUCUACAGAUCUGUAGGCGAAUGGCUGGAAGCCAUCAAAAUGGGACGGUAUACAGAGAUUUUUAUGGAAAAUGGAUACAGUUCCAUGGACGCUGUGGCUCAGGUGACCUUGGACAAACCAAGUAGGGGAGUCUUGGUCGAACAUCAACAUGGAUGCUAUGACAGUUGUAUGUAAAAUCCAAUCAAAAAAUGAUGCGGUGGUUUAAAAUAAGUGUUUAUGUUUCUGUCCUAAAUAUUUUAAUAGGGAAAUAGCAGAUCCUUCUCAGGCCUCAGUUUGAAGUUUCUAAUCCUAUGGAAUAUCAAGCAUUCUAAAUGAGUAUAGUAAAUACUUAUUGCAUUUCUCUUAAAUAACAUGUACAUGUAAUUGUUCCUGUACCUUACCUUAGCAUUUAUUACCAUUUUGACACUAGAGGCUAUAUUUCCCCAUGGGCAACACAAAAGUGAGUUAGGCUAUUUUCAGACAUCUUGACAUGCAACCUUCUGCUUUCAAACACCUGAACUGUCCAGUGCAGACUAACACCCACCCACAACACUAUCAAACUGAACUGAUCAAUAGCUAUUGAGAAUUUUUCUAGAAGUCAGUAACUUCUAAAACCUUUUUUAGGAGUUUUUAGACACUUGAAUAAAUUUAAACCCCUUUGGAGCGUUUCUGUCUCAAGAAUGAAUAAAGUUAUGAAUCAAAAUCCUCUGUAUUUUGAGUGCAUUGGUUUAACUGACAAUUACCUCUGUGCAGUAUGUUUAGGAUAUAGUUGUGAGGAUCUCUCAUACUCAAAUUUACCAAGGAAUCAGGGUCACACACUUUUGAGAAAUGCAAUACCUUGUUCUGUUACAACUGUAGAUUUCAGUCCUGCAGAGAGUCAAAGAUGCAUUUAAACCACAGACGUAAACUGAUUUAAUACUCAUCCUCGCUCCCCAGAGAACAUUGGAAACUAUAGUUCUUGUGGGGGUAGCAAGGAUCUCUAGCAAGGAAUUAUUGGCACACUUGCCAAUCUCAAUUCCCAGGAUGUUGUAGUUUUUCCCAAUUGAAUUGGUAGAAAUAUGAUAUCUUUACAUUAUAUAUAAGCCUUAAAAGUUGUUAUAUUGCAAAUGUGGUUUGGGCAAGUUUUAACCAUAACAGGAAACAUUAAUCCCUCACCUUGAUAAUGAGGAGCUUCCUUGUCCUGAUUAAAUCAGCUAUAACUAUGUGGAUUCUACUUCAUGAAGGUGGCUAACCACAUGGAGAGGUGGCCGUGGGGUAGAGGUUCUCAGUAGCCAUUCCACUGCCAAAAUAGCAUCAGAGCCAGACCUGAGCAAAUGCAAAAUCAAUGAUCUGGUUGGCAGGAUGGUUCUAUUCACACUUGUAUCACCAGCUCUUCACAUGUUUAUCAUGUCCAAUACCUUGGUUCUCAGCCCUCAAGUACUAAUAGGGAUGUGCACAAGGCGGUUCAGCUGCACCUCUUAGAAGCGCCAAACUGGCUUGUGGGGCAUUCAAACUGGCUUUGUGGGGCAGGGAGCAGUUCCCUUAAAAUUCAUGGGGUGGGAGCUCCUAACCUGCUCUCCCUUGCCCUGCCACUUUUCUGCCACCAGCACCCGCUUUGCAAAUACCUGCAUGGGGCUGCAGCACUGCUCCAUGCAGCCUCCACAUAGUGGUCAAUUGCAUGGUCAACAUGGUGUUCACGAUGAAAAUGAUGAACCAAGUUUGCCUCUCUGCUGCUUAAAGCACCAAGCAGAACUUCCUAUGGUCUUUUUCUUCUCACCUGCUAGCUCACAUUCUUCCCUAUGACUUACAGUUUCUUCUAUAGAGGAACAUAGUUACAUUUAGAUUCUUGAUGUCUAUAAAAAAUCAACUGCAUGUGAUCAACCUGAAGAAGCCUGUAGGUCUGUGGAGUCUUCAAAUACCUUAUAGCAGUGGCAGCCAGUGGCGAUGAGCUGGGGAAGGGCGUGGAGACUGUGUCCCAGCUGCAUCUCUCAGUCUCGCUUCCCACUCCGCACCAGCUAGCUGCCUCUCUGUCUUUCUCUUUUCAUCCCAAAUUGUGCAGGCUGGUCAGGGAUUACUGAUUGCGAGAUGCAGCUGCAGAGAGUUCUCUGCCUCCACCUUAGCUAAUUGGCUGACACUUUUCUGUCAUAACUUUCUGGUGUACAUAGUGAGUUGUAUACAAAGCUUCCAUUUCUUUGGAGGAAGGAAACCUUUCAAUGCAACUUCUUGAAUUAGAUUUAGGUUAUUCUACCUCCCAGUCCUAUUUUAUGAGACAAAUUAUAAGUUGAACAAACUACUUACUGAUCUUAAUCUUUCUGAUUAAGAUCAGUAAGAUCAGUCCUUGUGCUACAAGUAACAUAAACAAGAUAACCUCAAAUCUUGCUUUAGUAAAGAUAAAAGAGAAGCCAUAUUCUUAAAAAAAUAGAAAUUCUCAGACAUAUUUUCAAAAGCUCUUUUUAAAUAAUACACAUUACUAGCUGUUCCCCAACCCUUAAAGGAAACUACUGUACAGGCAUGCUUAUGACUAAAAAAUGUUUCACAGGAGUUAGAUCAGCGGUGGUAAAACAACAAAAAAAAAACUGGCUGUAAAAUACAUACUAGAUCAUUAUUGCUCAGUCUGAAAAAGCCAAUCUUUGGCUUUUGGAUAAUAGAUAAAACUCAGUCAGUCCUAACUGUCCAGCUAUACCAUGUUCAAAUCCUGUUUGAUAAAACACAGAUUGUUUUGACUUUGUGCCCAGGUUUUGCCUCUUAGUUAUAGUACUGUUAUUUUUCUUAAGUACCCAGGACCAAAGGUUCUGCAUGUGUACCUCCCUGUUCUUGUCAGUAAGCAUGGAGGAGGAUCCAACUGAAUUUUCUGUCCAAGAAUUAUCAUUAUGUCUCAAUAUUUUAUUCUUCUGCCUUUUGUCAUUAGUUUGCCUUUCUUUCAACAGUUUAAAUAAUUUUGAACAUUAAUUUUCUUUUAUAAAGCAUCUCUCUAUCAUUCCUUAAAUUUUUAAUAUUUUAUUCUUCUUGACUAAUCCCUUCCUUAUGGCAAAAUGUAUUACCUGAAUCAGUUUUCUUCUUUGAACAAUUUUAACAUUCACCAUGACACUCUGAGCAGAUAUCAUCUUUUGACCAAUUUGACCAUUUCCCAUCCUAUCCUUUCUAUAAAGCUCAACUACCACAAUCCAUAACAUUCAGUUUUUAUCCAAAUCCCUGUUCACAACAUAAACCACAUAUGAACCAUAUUGAAUAGCCAGUCCCUUUAUUUACACCCAAUUCAUCCUGAAACAUGAACGUCUGCUGACUAACCUUUGUUGGAUAAUAUGCCAGCUCAGUUACCCAUUUCUGCAUUAAUUCAUCCAACAGUGUUUGUUCCUUGGCUCUUCUAUACAAGCCAUACUUUUAGCAAUAGCCUGGACUGAAGCUAAAGCUAUAAACUCUUUUUCUUAUUUAAGGGGUGAGAGUGGAUUUUCAUCUUUUAAAAUAAUUUCCCUCAGGCAAAAAAACUUGUAGGACUGGGGGUUAUCCCCAGAUUGCUGUUCCCUGUCUAGUGAAAAUCAUUGCACUUUGCAUAACAGAAUUAACUAAAAACUUCCCCACUCUGAUUGGUGGACAGAUUCAGGACCCUUUCAGUCUGUCUGGAAUUUAUUUCUGUCUGCAUUAGUUGUUAGUAAAUGCAAAGAAUUCUGAGAGCUAGUUUGCAUCCAUUGCAUCAUGCAAACAGAGAGGAAGAAGUGUGACUCUAAUUUCUACUUUUCUUGUGCCUGCCAUCUGUCACGUGUGAAGUAGCUGUUCAGCAUCUCACUUUUUGUGAGAUCUGUAUGCCCCAGAUGACCUCUGAAGGCCAAGAUCUUAAGAGCUGGUUUCCACAGUGGUUGCAUUAACAUGUAAUGUGGAACUGUGGGUCCAGUGGACCCACAGCUCUGUUUCCUCUCCCCCUGCUUUCCGGUCUGAAUUCAGACAUAACAGAGAGCUCCCUCUCUGCAGUCAGUGAGACUGCAGAGAGGAGGGGGAACUGGUGUUGCAGGCUUCAUUCUUGACUGAAGGACAGCCCAAACAGCCAAUCAUGACUGGAGUUGAGGGAGGAGCUUCCUCCUUCAACUCCGGUUGAAGGGGCAUAGCCUGUGGCUCCUUAUUCAGACGCAAUGCAGGCUGCUUUCAACCUUGGGUUGUGGUGAUGAAACUCACUUAAUCCGAGGGUUCAGACUGGAAUUACAAAUCUGAAACCUUGGGUUCUUGUGGUCUGCAUUUGGACGACAUUUGGACAUAACGCUCAUGGAACUUCUGGCCUAUUCAACUGCAGUUCUGUAUUACAUGCUAAUGCGGCUUAUAUGUUUUAUGUUUCAGAACAAAAUUCCUGAUUUUUUAAAAUAAGUUGUAGUCUAAGGUUUUCUUGCUUCUAAAGGAAGGAUUCUUCUUCUGGAGGAAGAACAUUUUGCUCUGGAGCAAGGUCUCAUUUCUCUGAAAGAAGAUGCUUCCUCCAGAGGAAGAGAACCAUAGGCUUCAACCCUUCAUUGUCAUUGUAUAUUAGUAUUAAUGUGCAUAUACUGAGAAAAAGAUUUCUCCAUAUAGUAACAUUAUGACCACGAGGCUUUAGAUCAAUAACAAAUCAACAGUAACCAAACUGCUGGGCUACUGAACAAAGUACAUUGGGGAAAGUAACAAGGCACAACAUUACAGAACAAAUCAUGUAAUAUAUCAAGGCAGAUCAGAAUGAAAUAGCAGGAAAACCUGUAUGUGGCACAGUAUUUAUGCAAAAACAUGUUCAUGUGCAUUUUAUAUGGGUAGUCUUCUCUGCAUUAAAUUCAGAAGUAACAUUAGAUCAGACUUCCACUUCUGUGUUUAUUGCACAAAACCCCAGCCAUUUAAAAACACAACUGAUGGUGUUGCACAUGUAUUUUGCCAUGUCAGGUUAUUAUUCAGAUUGAGUAGCAGCCACAGUUGUCCUUCAUCUAGAACAGGACUCCUUACUCUGGAGCAAGCACUGUUGUUCCCCACCCCUGCUCUAUAGCAAAAGCAGUUGAAGUCCAAGUAACAAAUUUUAAGGAGUCAAAUCAUCUGCACCAAUAGUAUUUUUGGACUAACAUAAAAAUCCAAAAUAACAAUUUGUCAGCUUCUGCAAUUUACUCUUUAAAUUGCUUCUUUUAUCUACUUAAUUUAAAGAGCACCAUUCCCACCACUGGAUAUUCCCAUCUGCCUAAUCAUUUCCAUCAUUCUCCUUAAUUUGUGCUGUCCUUAUAGUCCUAACAUAUAUAGUAUUACCCUUUUAUUUUAAAAGGUCAUCAGUUUAAAGGAAAACCCUCAACGCUCUCUCUCUCUAUAUAUAUAUAUAUAUAUUGUACCUGAGUUUUGAAAGUAUGAUUCAAGAUCCACAGGCCCCACUUCAGAGGAGGGAGGAAACCAAUCACGACUUACUCAUGCGUCAUUGUUGCCUGCCUAUGUGACAUAUGAAAAACUGUCUUUGGGUUGUAUGCACUUGUAGAUCUUCACACAUGGAAGGUGAAACUUCUAAAUCACUCGUGUUUGCUUUGCUAUGAAGUUGCAAUGCCCUUUUUGACUAAAUUAUUGGCUCUUGACAAUUAUUGACAAAAAUGCAACUGGCUAAUAAAUAAAUUUUAUGUACUGUCAAAUCUAUUAUCUAUAUACUUUUUAGGGCAUACUGACAUACCCUAAAAGCACAUAUUUUCACACAUGCACAAACACAAAAUAUAAAGGCCAUUUUAAAUUAGUAAUAAUUUCAUUUGACAUGGCUUACACAGGGUAUGAUGCCAUUUCCAAGGGGGAAAGAAUACUGCGCAGGACUCCCAAGAAAUGCAUCCCAAGUCUCACUGAAACGCUUUUGGCCUCCCUCAGAAUUCCUCAGAUGCUUUAAACAGACCCUCUCAAAUUCACAUUUAACAUUUUGUGAGGUUGAAAUUUUGGUGGCAGUUCAACGGAAGAGAUCACAUGGUUUAGAACACUGGGACAAAUGGCCUCACUUCCCUAGAGGCCCUCACAGUUUCUACCAGUUGAGGACCUGAUAAUACUGUUGUGGCGGAGGGCAGGGGAGGAAGGGAUUUGAGGCGUCUUGGAGUCACACUUGUUGGGCACCAGAAGAAGAUAAUGAACAGCCUUCAAGAAAUGAAGGUCCAGCUGGUGAAUGGGAUGGUGCCAUUGUAAUGGCUUUUUAUUUAUACUUUUUUAAAAAAAAAAAUCACUUCUUCAAGUGAUUGACUGUGCACUUUGUAAAUUUUGACCUGAAGUUUAUUUUAGCAAAAAAGUUGAAAUUCAAAAAUUUCUUUAAUGCAACAAAAGAACACAGGCCUCAGCCUCAUCAUUUAUCAUCAGUGUUAGAAUUUCCCUUUCAUAAAUGACUUCAUUCUUAUGAAAUAAAUACAGUGUGCAUAAAAUUUAGAAAUAGGUAUAUGCCAUAUGCAAAAUUAGCCAUUUCCUUCCCCUUCCACAGCAACAAAGCCUUCCCACAACACCAUAUGUGUGUGUAUGUACACACAUAUAUACACACACCUUUAAGAAACUGAAAAUGGCAGCCCAUAUUGAUACUUCCAAGAAUUUACUUGAAUGGAAACAUUUCCAGCCAUGCGUGGGCUUACUGAAAACUGCAAUUUACUGAAGUUUACUUCGGCAAAGGAAGAAUACUGAAGAGCAAUAUGAGACUAUUUCUUGACAGAGAUUUCUUGUUUUGUAAAUUUCAAAGAAUGAUGCUGUUGCAUAGUAAUGAAGCCCUAGAGAUCAGUGUACAAACAUUUGUCAAUCAGAUCAAUGUUCAAUGCAAUACAGGGUGUGUUUUUCUUCUUCUUUUAAUAAAUUUAUUUUUAUAGUUGGGAAAUUUAA